CCGCGCAGCCCCUCAGGAGGGGCCGGAAUGGCGCGGUCGCGGCUCCCCCUCACGCCGGAGCGCGGCAGGGCCAGGCCGUGGGCCGGGCCGGAGCCUUUCCCCGGCCAUGGCAGCGAGGGCGGGCCCGGAAGGGGAGCGGCCGCCGCCCGCCUCACUUCCCCGGCUGUCGGGCGGGGCGGCAGCGCGGGCAGCGGGCGGGCACCAUGCUGCAGUUCUUGCUUGGUUUUACUCUUGGCAACGUGGUUGGGAUGUAUCUGGCACAGAACUAUGAUAUUCCUAACAUUGCAAAGAAGCUGGAAGAUUUUAAGAAGGAUGUGGAAGCCAAGAAGAAACCUCCCAAUGACAAGUCCUGAAAGAGAAAUGUUCCCCAGGUCAACUCUGUGUGUGCAGCAAGGAUGCAAUUUUUACCUUUCAGGCAGCAAAGGAAACACUCCAAGAAACUCUGACAGGGAGAAAUGGUUGUACCACCUGAACCCAGCUAUCAGAAGCCCUGUGGUAGCAGCAUGUGUGGAAGAUAACCAGAGAGAUUUCCAUUACCUUCAGACUUCAGACCUGACUGAAGGGAUUUUCUUCCAUGCCCAAAAGUGUUUCCCUAGAGUGAUAGUGCUGCACAGCUGUUUUGAUGUUUUCAUGAACAUGAUGAACUUAGGUUUCCCCCAACUUCCUCUCCCUCCCCUCCCUUUCCUAUUCUUGAGCAUUGAAAAAUACUGUCUCUAA
rnacentral:lncRNA from 1 species